AUGAGGAGAAUACACUGGACUGAAAACUCCUGGCCAGAUCUGAAUGUCGAGAGGAUUCUGCACUCUACAGGGCAGGUGGAACAGACCCCCUCUUCCCCCAGGAGUCCCCUCAGCUCCUCACAGCUUCUCCUGUCUCGCUACCCUGGCCACCCCAGCUGUUGCUGUUCCACCCCAACUCUGCAUGGGCUCAGGCCCCCGCCCCCACCACUACCAUGACAGUCUUCUCAAGGGGUCCAUCUCUCUGUGGUUGCUGAAGUGGGAGACACCCAUCCCCCAGCCAUGGCUGUGCACCAGUACCCUGGACAGGGCAGGAAAGGUGCCAUUCCUACAGUCCUUAGCGACAUAAUCCAAGCCUAAACAAGGUUCUUGAUGCUGUUCAGAAUUUCAUCAGAGUCUUCUCAGUGUCUUCCUCCACUGCAGUAUGGGACUGGGCAAAAGUCCUCCCUUCUCAGGUAGUAGAACUUAAAAGCUGCUAUAACUCCUUGAUCCAUUGUGUGGAUCAAAGAGGUGGUGCCUGGAGGAAGAAAUAUCACUUUGAUAUUAGGAAUGAAGAUCACCCGUAAAAAAGAGGACAUGUGGGAGCAUUAUCAACAAUAAGUAAAAUCUUGAAAGGUGGAUCAUUCUCCAAACAGUGCUUUUCCUUUCAGUGGUACAGCAUUGCAGGAGAGCAUCCUGGAAAAGAAGCUGCAUCUGUUAUGACUUCUCACUACUCCUGUAGCCCACUGGCAGUAUGUGCUCAGUGCUGUGCUUGAAGACCCUCGGGUUCUCACUGGGCCAGAUCACGAAGGAUUUCAACUAGUAGCCUGUACCAUUUCCCUCAAGCAAGACUGUUACCCUGUCCAUCAAAGCCUUGAAACCUGACAUUGACUUGGCUUCCUUAUAGAUAAAAGUCAUUCCAGGCAUCCAUUUCCAGAAUAAGGAGAUUUCAUCCAUAUUGAAGAUUUGCUCCGGCAAGUAAAUUUCCUCCACAGUCAGCUUAUCUACAGUUUCCAAAAAUUCUUCAGCUGCCUUCACAUCAGCACUCACAGACUUACCACUCACUUUCAUAUUACAUAAUAAAGAACGAUUCCUGAGUCCUUUAAACCACGCAGAGCUAGCAGUAAAUUCAACAUCCUAGUCAAAUCCAGCCUUUUCUUUCAGCAUCACAAACUUUCUGUUUUGGCUGGGAUCAUCGUGGGGCUGGGUGGAAUACAUGUGUGUGUCAGUCUAGUCUUCAAUCCGGGUCAUAAGAAAUUUCUCUGUAUCUGGUAUAGACCCUUCUUAAAUUGUUGAUAGUCUCAUUGCCUCCAAUGAUGCAGAUAGUUUCAACUUCUGUCACUUUGUUCUUCUUCCCCAAGAUUGUAGCUAUGAUCGAAUGCGACCUACCUGCCUGGGGAGCAAUAACCAUCACCAAUUUUCCACCUCCGUGGUCUUUAAUCACUUUUAAUUUCAUUUCCAGCUCAAUCACUGAUAUGGUUUGGUUGUGUCCCCACCCAAAUCUCAUCUUGACUUGUAGUUCCCAUAAUCCCCAUGUGUCGUGGGAAGGACCAGGUGGAGAUAAUUGAAUCAUGGGGGCAGUUUCCUCCAUCCUAUUCUCAUGAUAGUGAGUU
rnacentral:lncRNA from 1 species